UAAGACGUAGGGGGCGAGCGUUGUCCGGAGUUACUGGGCGUAAAGGGCGCGUAGGCGGUUCUGCAAGUCGGUUGUGAAAACAUCAGGGCUUAACCCGAUGCUUGCAUCCGAUACUGCAGAACUUGAGGAAUGGAGAGGAAGCUAGAAUUACUGGUGUAGCGGUGAAAUGCGUUGAUAUCAGUAGGAAUACCGGUGGCGAAGGCGGGCUUCUGGCCAUUAUCUGACGCUGAGGCGCGAAAGCUGGGGGAGCAAACAGGAUUAGAUACCCUGGUAGUCCCAGCCCUAAACGAUGGAUACUAGGUGUUGGUGGUAUCGACCCCACCAGUGCCGCAGCUAACGCAUUAAGUAUCCCGCCUGGGGAGUACGGCCGCAAGGUUG
rnacentral:rRNA from 1 species